CAGCACCUCAAGUGGUCAGGAUGAUUAUUGGGCCUAAAGCAUCCGUAGCCGGCUCUGUAAGUUUUCGGUUAAAUCUGUACGCUCAACGUACAGGCUGCCGGGAAUACUGCAGCGCUAGGGAGUGGGAGAGGUAGACGGUACUCGGUAGGAAGGGGUAAAAUCCUGUGAUCUAUUGAUGACCACCUGUGGCGAAGGCGGUCUACCAGAACACGUCCGACGGUGAGGGAUGAAAGCUGGGGGAGCAAACCGGAUUAGAGACCCGCGUAGUCC
rnacentral:rRNA from 1 species